GCCUACGGGGCGCAGCAGUCGAGAAUCAUUCACAAUGGGGGAAACCCUGAUGGUGCGACGCCGCGUGGGGGAAUGAAGGUCUUCGGAUUGUAAACCCCUGUCAUGUGGGAGCAAAUUAAAAGGAUAGUACCACAAGAGGAAGAGACGGCUAACUCUGUGCCAGCAGCCGCGGUAAUACAGAGGUCUCAAGCGUUGUUCGGAAUCACUGGGCGUAAAGCGUGCGUAGGCCGUUUCGUAAGUCGUGUGUGAAAGGCGCGGGCUCAACCCGCGGACGGCACAUGAUACUGCGAGACUAGAGUAAUGGG
rnacentral:rRNA from 1 species